rnacentral:rRNA from 1 species
GUCGAUGGCCAACGGGUUAAUAUUCCCGUACUACUAAUAAUUGUGAUGGAGUGACACAGUGAUGAUCUCAGAGGCGAAGAAGGACGUGAUAAGCUGCGAAAAGCUACGGGGAUUGGCACACACGAGUUGAUCCGUAGAUAUCCGAAUGGGGCAACCCACUAUAUUGAAGAUAUAGUAUCCUAAUAGGAGGCGAACCCGCUGAACUGAAACAUCUAAGUAGGCGGAGGAGAAGAAAACAAAAGUGAUUCCGUAAGUAGUGGCGAGCGAACGCGGAAUAGCCCAAACCAAAGUUGUUACGGCAAUUUUGGGGUUGUAGGACCACGAUAUUUCUUGCGGAUUUAAUGAGAAUUACCUGGAAAGGUAAACCGAAGAGGGUGAUAGUCCCGUAUUGGUAAGAGAAGAUAAGAAUAGUGGUAUCCUGAGUAGGUCGGGGCACGUGAAACCUUGAUUGAAACUGGCGGGACCAUCCGCUAAGGCUAAAUACUCCUGAGAGACCG